ensembl:lncRNA
GACCGACCCACGGCUCCCCAUAAACACAACACUUCAAUCUGGGCUGAUUCCAAUCAAUAAAUAGUGUCAUAGGAGGUAACCUAUAGCUGAUAAACUAAUGUACCAUAGCUGACCAGAAAAGCUGUAAAACUGAGAAAAUGCCAUGUGGCUAAAACGUUACUAAUCUGCAGGUAGCAGCAGGAAAGUGAUACAACCAAAUAAUUGGCAGUAUGGCCGCAUUCAAAAUGGGUCUGCAAGUCCAAGUCAAUCCUUAGGCUGGAGAAAACACUGGACGAUUAACAAAAAUCUGACUUGGGACCCCAAUUUGAUGUUCUGCUGUACCGAAAUAACUGAUGUCUUUUACAUGAACCCAGGUAACCCUUUGGUCUGAAAAGUGAUUAUAAUCAAAAAGAAAAGAUGGCGUCAGUGCAUUAGAGUUUCAUAAAUAAAAUCCUCCACCUCAAAAAAUAAAAAAAUACACACUACAGAACAUCCACAACAAAUCAGUGCAAAUAAUACAGUGAACUUGAACAGUAAUAAUACAACAAUUUGCUUUUAGUUAAGUCCUUAAUUUGUGAGUGAUUUAAAACAGGUUUCCAGAACAGGGUAGGCUGCUGGGCUGCAUUAUACAAGUUCUUUAUCAACACCUUCAGGGGAAAUUGAUGCAAUGAUUCUCCUCUCGGCCACAGCGUACUGCAAGAGCUGAACUAAGAAACGUUGGCCAGUCAAAUAUUCCCUUAAGUUGGAAACUGCAAUACUCAAGGCCCACACAAAAAGCACAGCAUUGCCAAUUCAGUGCACUACUUUUUCCCAGGGUCCUUAUUACAUGUACUGCAUUAAAAAGGGUGCCAUUUUGAACAGAAAAACAUUAGCCAUAAAAAGAUCAAUAACUCCGGAAAUGGCUACACUCAAGAUAACAUCAGCAUAUCUCAAUUCUGAACACACUAACAUCCAUCCAAUAAACCACUAAACAGAAAUAAAUGUAGGCACUUGGCUUGUAUUUCUGUGAUGUAUAUAGAAAUAAAAAAAAGGUGACCAAGACAGCAG